GGACGACUCUCGGCAACGGAUCUCUUGGCUCUUGCAUCAAUGAAGAACGUAGCGAAAUGCGAUACUUGGUGUGAAUUGCAUAAUCUUGUGAACCAUCGAGUCUUUGAAUGCAAGGUGCACCCAAGGCCAGUCGACCGAGGGCACGCCUACCUGGGCGUCAUGCACCGCGCUGCCUGCACCCGACCCCGGGCGAGAGCGGAGACUGGCCGACCAUGCUCCUAGAGGCGUGGCGGGCUGAAAGUUGCAUCUCGAUCAUCGGCCCAUGCGGGGCGUCAGCACAGCGUUGGGUGGUCACCAGGGCUCUACGAGCCAACGCGAUCGGACAUCGUGCAUGUCGCCUCCUGGGGCACCAGGGCACCCCGGAUUGCAACAUGACCCCAGGUCAGGCUGGGACACCCGCCGAGUUUAAGCAAAUAAAUAAGCAGAGGAAAAGAAACUCUCAAGGAUUCCCCUAGUAACGGUGAGCAAAUCGGGAAGUGCCC
rnacentral:rRNA from 1 species